AACUGCUUUUGUUGGGGAGUAAAGUGGGGCACGCGUGCCUUUUUGCAUUUACCCUUCGAAUAAGGACCGGCUAAUUCCGUGCCAGCAGCCGCGGUAAUACGGAAGGUCCAGGCGUUAUCCGGAUUUAUUGGGUUUAAAGGGAGUGUAGGCGGUCUGUUAAGCGUGUUGUGAAAUUUAGGUGCUCAACAUCUACCUUGCAGCGCGAACUGGCGGACUUGAGUGCACGCAACGUAUGCGGAAUUCAUGGUGUAGCGGUGAAAUGCUUAGAUAUCAUGACGAACUCCGAUUGCGAAGGCAGCGUACGGGAGUGUUACUGACGCUUAAGCUCGAAGGUGCGGGUAUCGAACAGGAUUAGAUACCCUGGUAGUCC
rnacentral:rRNA from 1 species